CAGCAGUGGGGAAUUUUGGACAAUGGGCGCAAGCCUGAUCCAGCCAUGCCGCGUGCAGGAUGAAGGCCUUCGGGUUGUAAACUGCUUUUGUACGGAACGAAAAGACUCCUUCUAAUAAAGGGGGUCCAUGACGGUACCGUAAGAAUAAGCACCGGCUAACUACGUGCCAGCAGCCGCGGUAAUACGUAGGGUGCGAGCGUUAAUCGGAAUUACUGGGCGUAAAGCGUGCGCAGGCGGUUAUAUAAGACAGAUGUGAAAUCCCCGGGCUCAACCUGGGAACUGCAUUUGUGACUGUAUAGCUAGAGUACGGUAGAGGGGGAUGGAAUUCCGCGUGUAGCAGUGAAAUGCGUAGAUAUGCGGAGGAACACCGAUGGCGAAGGCAAUCCCCUGGACCUGUACUGACGCUCAUGCACGAAAGCGUGGGGAGCAAACAGGAUUAGAUACCCUGGUAGUCCACGCCCUAAACGAUGUCAACUGGUUGUUGGGUCUUCACUGACUCAGUAACGAAGCUAACGC
rnacentral:rRNA from 1 species